rnacentral:rRNA from 1 species
AUGAACGCUGGCGGCGUGCUAAACACAUGCAAGUCGAACGAAGCAUUUAGGACAGAUUACUUCGGUUUGAAGUUCUUUAUGGCUGAGUGGCGGACGGGUGAGUAACGCGUGGGUAACCUGCCUUGUACUGGGGGAUAGCAGCUGGAAACGGCUGGUAAUACCGCAUAAGCGCACAAUGUUGCAUGACAUGGUGUGAAAAACUCCGGUGGUAUAAGAUGGACCCGCGUCUGAUUAGCUAGUCGGUGAGAUAACAGCCCACCAAGGCGACGAUCAGUAGCCGACCUGAGAGGGUGACCGGCCACAUUGGGACUGAGACACGGCCCAGACUCCUACGGGAGGCAGCAGUGGGGAAUAUUGCACAAUGGAGGAAACUCUGAUGCAGCGACGCCGCGUGAGUGAAGAAGUAAUUCGUUAUGUAAAGCUCUAUCAGCAGGGAAGAUAGUGACGGUACCUGACUAAGAAGCUCCGGCUAAAUACGUG